rnacentral:rRNA from 1 species
GAGUGCAGGAGAGGUAAGUGGAAUUCCUAGUGUAGCGGUGAAAUGCGUAGAUAUUAGGAGGAACACCAGUGGCGAAGGCGACUGUAACUGACGCUGAGUCACGAAAGCGUGGGUAGCAAACAGGAUUAGAUACCCUGGUAGUCCACGCUGUAAACGAUGAGUGCUAGGUGUUGGGUAGCGAUAUUCAGUGCCGAAGUUAACACAAUAAGCACUCCGCCUGGGGAGUACGGUCGCAAGACUGAAACUCAAAGGAAUUGACGGGGACCCGCACAAGCAGCGGAGCAUGUGGUUUAAUUCGAAGCAACGCGAAGAACCUUACCAAGGCUUGACAUCCCCUUGACCAGUGCAGAAAUGUGCUCUCUCCUUCGGGAGCAAGGGUGACAGGUGGUGCAUGGUUGUCGUCAGCUCGUGUCGUGAGAUGUUGGGUUAAGUCCCGCAACGAGCGCAACCCUUAUCAUUAGUUGCCAGCAGGUUAAGCUGGGCACUCUAAUGAGACUGCCGGUGAUAAACCGGAGGAAGGUGGGGAUGACGUCAAAUCAUCAUGCCCCUUAUGUCUUGGGCUACACACGUGCUACAAUGGUCGGUACAACGGGCAGCGAAAGAGUGAUCUGGAGCAAAUCCCAAUAAACCGAUCUCAGUUCGGAUUGUAGGCUGCAACUCGCCUACAUGAAGUCGGAGUUGCUAGUAAUCGCGAAUCAGAACGUCGCGGUGAAUGCGUUCCCGGGUCUUGUACACACCGCCCGUCACACCAUGGAAGUUGGUAAUACCCGAAGUCGCUGAGCUAACCGCAAGGAGGCAGGCGCCGAAGGUAGGAUCAAUGACUGGGGUGAAGUCGUAACAAGGUAGCCGUAUCGGAAGGUGCGGCUG